rnacentral:rRNA from 1 species
UACGAAGGGUGCAAGCGUUACUCGGAAUUACUGGGCGUAAAGCGUGCGUAGGUGGUUCGUUAAGUCUGAUGUGAAAGCCCUGGGCUCAACCUGGGAAUGGCAUUGGAUACUGGCGACCUAGAGUGCGGUAGAGGGGUGUGGAAUUCCCGGUGUAGCAGUGAAAUGCGUAGAUAUCUGGAGGAAUACCGGUGGCGAAGGCGGCAUCCUGGACCGGCAUUGACGCUGAACAGCGAAAGCUAGGGGAGCAAACGGG